AUGAACGCUAGCGGGAGGCCUAACACAUGCAAGCCGAGCGGUAUUGUUUCUUCGGAAAUGAGAGAGCGGCGUACGGUGCGGAACACGUGUGCAACCUGCCUCUAUCUGGGGGAUAGCCUUUCGAAAGGAAGAUUAAUACUCCAUAAUAUAUUGAACGGCGUCGUUUAAUAUUGAAAGCUCCGGCGGAUAGAGAUGGGCACGCGCAAGAUUAGCUAGUUGGUGAGGUAACGGCUCACCAAGGCGAUGAUCUUUAGGGGGCCUGAGAGGGUGAUCCCCCACACUGGUACUGAGACACGGACCAGACUCCUACGGGAGGCAGCGGUGAGGAAUAUUGGUCAAUGGGUGCAAGCCUGAACCAGCCAUCCCGCGUGAAGGACGACUGCCCUAUGGGUUGUAAACUUCUUUUGUAUAGGGAUAAACCUACCCUCGUGAGGGUAGCUGAAGGUACUAUACGAAUAAGCACCGGCUAACUCCGUG
rnacentral:rRNA from 1 species